GCGCGGGCUGCGGGCCAGCCGGGCGCUGCGCAGUCUCCGCAGGCGCCGGCAGGAGGGGUCGAGGCGGAGGCGCGGCGCAGGCUGCUGCAGGCCCAGUAAGCUGUGCUAGAACAAAAAUGCAAUGAAAGAAACACUGGAUGAAUGAAAAGCCCUGCUUUGCAACCCCUCAGCAUGGCAGGCCUGCAGCUCAUGACCCCUGCUUCCUCACCAAUGGGUCCUUUCUUUGGACUGCCAUGGCAACAAGAAGCAAUUCAUGAUAACAUUUAUACGCCAAGAAAAUAUCAGGUUGAACUGCUUGAAGCAGCUCUGGAUCAUAAUACCAUCGUCUGUUUAAACACUGGCUCAGGGAAGACAUUUAUUGCAGUACUACUCACUAAAGAGCUGUCCUAUCAGAUCAGGGGAGACUUCAGCAGAAAUGGAAAAAGGACGGUGUUCUUGGUCAACUCUGCAAACCAGGUUGCUCAACAAGUGUCAGCUGUCAGAACUCAUUCAGAUCUCAAGGUUGGGGAAUACUCAAACCUAGAAGUAAAUGCAUCUUGGACAAAAGAGAGAUGGAACCAAGAGUUUACUAAGCACCAGGUUCUCAUUAUGACUUGCUAUGUCGCCUUGAAUGUUUUGAAAAAUGGUUACUUAUCACUGUCAGACAUUAACCUUUUGGUGUUUGAUGAGUGUCAUCUUGCAAUCCUAGACCACCCCUAUCGAGAAAUUAUGAAGCUCUGUGAAAAUUGUCCAUCAUGUCCUCGCAUUUUGGGACUAACUGCUUCCAUUUUAAAUGGGAAAUGUGAUCCAGAGGAAUUGGAAGAAAAGAUUCAGAAACUAGAGAAAAUUCUUAAGAGUAAUGCUGAAACUGCAACUGACCUGGUGGUCUUAGACAGGUAUGCACUUCCGAUUGACUCGGCUUUAAUGAGAUUAGUUGAAAACAAUAUUAAGUCUUUGGUGUUUUUUGUAGUACCUUGCAGAGAGUAUCUAUUUAAGUGAACAAAUGGCAGUAAAAAGGAAUGGGCAAGAGUAAGAAUUCUCUAUAAGUACCGUUACCUGUGAGUUCAAGAAUCUAGCCUUGUUUCCACAGAGAGUAGCAGACAGGCAUUUCUGUCUUAAGAGAUUAUGUGUCAGCUCUUCCUAUUUGCUGUUGUUGCCAAGGACUGGGAACUUUAACAGUAAAUUUGUAUUUUUUUUCUGUCAAUAUGUGUGCUUUGUUGUUCUGACCUAAAUGUCUUACAUGAUGCUUUCAAAGAACAUUAAGUUAUUUAGAGAAUUCAGCAGUAUACUUUAAAAUGUUUGGAAAUA
rnacentral:sRNA from 1 species